rnacentral:ncRNA from 1 species
AUGGUCGUAGAAAGGAGAGAUGGUUGGCAUCUCCCUCGACAAGGAUGGGAACAGUCUUCGAACUUUCCUUUCACAAACCCACACAGAACAUAGUGCUUGU